rnacentral:ncRNA from 1 species
CCAAAGGCAAGGAUCGGGACAAGCAUAGGAACCUUCUGCUGUAGAGAACCGCUGGCUGGUGAAAAGCGGCGCAGAAAUCUUAUCCACUCACCCGUAAGCUGUAACCUGAACACAUUUUGAAAUGUCAGUAAACGUUACCGUCUGCUCACACGUUACCGUGAGAACAUAUUCGAAGUCUGGAUAUGUGAGGGGAAUGAUACUUUUUAUCAUUCAAAAAGAGUGGUACCGCGGAAUUGGUGAUAAACUUCCGUCUCUUAG